rnacentral:tRNA from 1 species
GCAGUCGUGGCCGUGUAGUUAAGGCGAUAGACUAGAAAUCCAUUGGGGUCUCCCCGCACAGGUUCGAAUCCUGUCGACUGCG